GGGGAUUGAGUGUUGAGGAUGGUGUGCAUGCCCAGCUUGUACUGGGAAGCCUGAAAUCCUCCCGAGAUCUCCGCC
rnacentral:other from 1 species